AUUGAACGCUGGCGGCAUGCCUUACACAUGCAAGUCGAACGGUAACAGGUCUUCGGAUGCUGCCGAGUGGCGCACGGGUGAGUAAUACAUCGGAACGUGCCCGAUCGUGGGGGAUAACGGAGCGAAAGCUUUGCUAAUACCGCAUACGAUCUACGGAUGAAAGCAGGGGACCGCAAGGCCUUGCGCGGACGGAGCGGCCGAUGGCAGAUUAGGUAGUUGGUGGGAUAAAAGCUUACCAAGCCGACGAUCUGUAGCUGGUCUGAGAGGACGACCAGCCACACUGGGACUGAGACACGGCCCAGACUCCUACGGGAGGCAGCAGUGGGGAAUUUUGGACAAUGGGCGAAAGCCUGAUCCAGCCAUGCCGCGUGCAGGAUGAAGGCCUUCGGGUUGUAAACUGCUUUUGUACGGAACGAAAAGACUCUUUCUAAUAAAGAGGGUCCAUGACGGUACCGGAAGAAUAAGUACCGGCUAACUACGUG
rnacentral:rRNA from 1 species